UGGGGAAUUUUGGAGAAUGGGGGAAACCCUGUUCCAGCCAUCUCGCGCGUGCGAUGAAGGCCUUCGGGGUGUAAAGCACUUUUGGCAGGAAAGAAACGUCAUGGGUUAAUACCCCGUGAAACUGACGGUAUCUGCAGAAUAAGCACCGGCUAACUACGUGCCAGCAGCGGCGGUAAUACGGAGGGUGCAAGCGUUAAUCGGAAUUACUGGGCGUAAAGCGUGCGCAGGCGGUUCGGAAAGAAAGAUGUGAAAUCCCAGAGCUCAACUUUGGAACUGCAUUUGUAACUACCGGGAGAGAGUGUGUCAGAGGGAGGUGGAAUUCCGCGUGUAGCAGUGAAAUGCGUAGAUAUGCGGAGGAACACCGAUGGCGAAGGCAGCCUCCUGGGAUAACACUGACGCUCAUACACGAAAGCGUGGGGAGCAAACAGG
rnacentral:rRNA from 1 species